AUACAGGGGGUGCGAGCGUUAAUCGGAAUUACUGGGCGUAAAGAGUACGUAGGCGGUUGCUUAAGUCAGAUGUGAAAGCCCCGGGCUCAACCUGGGAACUGCAUUUGAAACUGAGUGACUAGAGUCUAAGAGAGGGGAGUAGAAUUCCGGGUGGAGCGGUGAAAUGCGUAGAGAUCCGGAGGAAUACCAGUGGCGAAGGCGGCUCCCUGGCUUAAAACUGACGCUGAGGUACGAAAGCGUGGGUAGCAAACAGGAUUAGAAACCCCAGUAGUCC
rnacentral:rRNA from 1 species